GACGAACGCUUGGCUGCACGCUUAUUCAUGCGCUUCCCACCAGAACGCUUUGGCUUUGCCAAUGCAAGUACUGUGGCGGACGGGUGCUUAUCGCGUAGAUAACCUGCCCUCACGCGCGGGACAAUCACGGGAAACCGUGGCUAAUACCAUCACGUCAUUCUGGAUCCCUCAUGGGAACCAGAUGAAAGCCUUCGAGCGCCUUUGGAUGGGUCUGCGUUGGAUUAGCUUGCUGGUGAUGUAACAGACUGCGCUACGCAACUAUCCAUACCUGGUCUGACAUGACGCAUCACCCACGCUGGGAGUGAUACACGGCCCACACUCCUACCCGGAGGCACCACUGGGGAAUCUUGCACAAUGGGGUAACCCCUGAUGCAUCCCUGCCGCGUGGAAGAAGACACCCCUAUGGGGCGUAACCUCAUUUUCUGAACGAUCACACCCCUGUAGUUUAAGGGCGCGACGCGUUUUCACGAAUAAACCCCGGCUAGCUACGCUGCCUCUCCCGCCGUAAUACCGAGGGUGCAAGCGUUGUCCGGAACCUCUGGGUGUAAAGGGUGCGCACGCGGGGCACCCCGUCUGAUGUGAAACCCCAUGGCUCACCCAUGGAUGUGCAUUCGCAACUGUUGCUCUUGAGUCACGGACAGGCUGUCUGAAUUCGUGGUGUGGCGCGUGAAUGCGUAGAUAUCACGAUGAUCACCAGAGGCGAGAGCUGACAGCGUGACGAGUACUGACGCUCAGGCACGAAAGCGUGCGGAGCAAACAGGAUCAGAUACGCUGCUAGUCCACGCCUUAAACGAUGAAUGCUAGCUGUUGCAUCGUUAGGGGGCCGUGGCUAAGUUAACGAGCCAAGCAAUCCACAUGGAGAGUAAGAUCGCAAGCACGAAACUCAAAGGAAUCGACGGGGGCCAGCUACAGAGCGGUGGAGCAUGCGGCUCAAUCCGAUGCAACGAGAGAGAACCUUACAUAGGCUGGAACGUUAGAGGACCGCUCGUGAAAGGGAGCUUCCCAUCUGGGGCUUAUAGCGAGGUAACGCAUGGCUGUCGUCAGCUCGUGUGGUGAGAUGUUGGGAUAAGUCGCGCAAGCGAGCGUAACCCGUGUUGCUAGUUACCAUCGGGUAAUGCCGGGGAGUGAUAGCGAAACUGCCUGAGCAAGCAGUGAGGAAGGUGGGGAGGAUGUCAAGUCAUCAUGGUCCUUAGGCGUAGGGAUGCACACGUGGUACAAUGGCCGGAACAAUGAGCAGCCACCUCGCGAGAGGGAGAGAAUCUAAGUAAAACCGGUGACCAGUUCGGAGGGGAGUCAGCAACUCGACUCCAUGAAGCAGGAAUCGCUAGUAAUAGCGGAUCAGCAAUGACGCGGUGAAUCCGGUUCCCGGGCGUUGUACACACCGCCAGUCAAGCCAUAGAAGCCGAGAGCACCCGAAGUCCGUGACUAAGAUCGAGCGAUGGGUUUGAGGGAGAGCGGCUGAAGGAACGUUCAGGUCCAGGGGU
rnacentral:rRNA from 1 species